rnacentral:rRNA from 1 species
GACUACAGGGGUAUCUAAUCCUGUUUGAUACCCACACCUUCGCAGUUUAGCGUCAAUAACGGCUUAGAAGACUGCCUUCGCUUUUGGUAUUCCUCCUGAUCUCUGCGCAUUCCACCGCUACACCAGGAAUUCUGUCUUCCCCAACCGUAUUCCAGAUAAACAGUAUCUAACGCCUUACGACGGGUAAGCCGUCGCCUUUAACAUUAAACUUAUCUAUCCGCCUACCUGCCCUUUACGCCUAGUAAUUCCGGACAACGCUAGCAACCCCCGUGUUACCGCGGCUGCUGGCACGGAGUUAGCCGUUGCUUAUUCAUAUGCUAAUAUCUCUCCCUACAUGCUAUUCACAUAUAAGGCAUUGCUCACAUAUAAAAGAACUUUACACCCCGAAGGGAUUCAUCGUUCACGCGGCGUCGCACUAUCAGACUUUCGUCCAUUGUAGACUAUUCUCGACUGCAGCCCCCCGUAGG